AUUGAACGCUGGCGGCAUGCCUUACACAUGCAAGUCGAACGGUAACAGGUUAAGCUGACGAGUGGCGAACGGGUGAGUAAUGUAUCGGAACGUGCCCAGUCGUGGGGGAUAACUACUCGAAAGAGUGGCUAAUACCGCAUACGACCUGAGGGUGAAAGCGGGGGACCGUAAGGCCUCGCGCGAUUGGAGCGGCCGAUAUCAGAUAGCUAGUUGGUGGGGUAAAAGCCCACCAAGGCGACGAUCUGUAGCUGGUCUGAGAGGACGACCAGCCACACUGGGACUUAGACACGGCCCAGACUCCUACGGGAGGCAGCAGUGGGGAAUUUUGGACAAUGGACGCAAGUCUGAUCCAGCCAUGCCGCGUGCGGGAAGAAGGCCUUCGGGUUGUAAACCGCUUUUGUCAGGGAAGAAACGAGUUUCUCUAAUACAGAGACUUAAUGACGGUACCUGAAGAAUAAGCACCGGCUAACUACGUGCCAGCCGCCGCUGUAAUAC
rnacentral:rRNA from 1 species